CCACACACACAUUCACAUCUCCCUUCAAUGGAGAGGAUGAAACUGCUUCACAUCUCAGGGCCAGGUUUGAAAAUGAGGACAGUCCCCCUUUUCUGGAUGCAAGUGUCAGAGGUGCUAAAUUUGACAAAUUUGUAUGCAUCAGCCUCAGGAGAGGACGAAAGCCCCCACAGGUGCUCUGAACAGCCUCUCCCAUUGGGCCGAGGGUAUGGUUUGAAUGUUCUUUGCAGGGCAAUUAAACAGACAUUAACAGCGGACAGUGUGAGAUUCCAGUGGCCAGCCUUGUGUCUAAGUGUUGCCUUAUGCUUGAAAUCUGGUCCUCCGCAGCACAGUAUUCAAACCCAUGUGUGACUUUGGGUGCAUUAUCAAAUCAACCUUCUGACUAAACUCCCUGGUGCCAGCACCUGUGAUUCCUGGUGCUAAACACCAAUGCAGAACAUAAUAGAAGCUUCCUGCUGGGCCAUACUGGAGUCACCAAGACGGUAUGACUGCCUUCCCAA